AUUUAACGCUUGUAUAUAUACGCCAUCUCGCAUUUCUUAAAUAUAAUCUGUACCGUUGAGAAAUGGCUCACAAUAAAAUAUAUUUCGUUGUGAUAACAACUGCUCUGCUUGCAGUACACAUGAUUCUUGCUGAAGAUGGCGAGGAUACUGAAGAGAGACGAUUUAGGUGGCCAAGCUCCAUUACUGUCGGAUUUCAACGAGAACAAAACGUGAAUCACGAGGAAAGAUUGGAAAGACUGGAAAGAUCGCUGCCAUCUCUUCCUUUUCUGCCAAAUUUAGGUUCCUGCAAUUAUGAUUCUGAACCUGGACUAACAUGUGCCGACUGUAGUAAUUCAAGAUUGUGUUUACCAAAUAACGUGAGCAUCACAACCAGUUGCGGGGUACUUCUUCCUAACUGCAAUGGAGGUCUUUGCUCUUCUACCCCGAGUAGGUCCUGCUCCGAAAACACCACGAAAUAUGAUUAACUGUGGCAUGAUUUUUGACGAAACUUAAUCCGUUUAUUAAUUGAAACCAUAGCAAUGUAUAAUGAAAACAGUUUGGCAAAUAUAUUAAUAAAAGACAGAAAUAAC